AAGAAUCUGUAGAGCCAAUUUCGAAAAGGAAAUCUAAUUACAAUCUGGAAAUCGAGAGGGUUGCGACGAGUGAGCUUCUCUUCCUCAGGAGCCAUAGACACCACCUGCAACUGCUUCCUUGUCCUGCGGCUCAGAGGGAAGCGUUGAACGGAGAUGAAAGGGCUACCGAUAGAAGAAGCAGCUCCGUUUAGCGACGGUGAAGAUAGUGGCGGAGAGAGAAGUGGCAACGGUGACUAAAGCGAUGCCGAUACAUGAAGCGGCGCCGUAGCUCCUCAGCCUCUCUGUCUUCUAUGAUUCUAUCGGAGCAUAUGACAGCGACGAAGCAGCAGCACAUACUGGGGACCCGACACACCAUCUUUUAUUUUCUGUGUUUGUGCAGAAGUAUAAUCCGUCGCUAUCAGUGCCACAGUUUGGUGAUUGGGACCAAAAAAGAGGAGGAACAUUGCCUGACUACUCUCUGGAUUUAACUAAGAUUGGAGAGAUGAGGAAAAAAAAAAGAGACCCUUCUCCAGCUAGUUUAGGCAACGAGGAUGAUGAGCUCAUUAAGCCACCCGACUCAGCUACUUCAACAACUGCUAAGUUCACAAAAUUGUUUAUAUCAAGUGUGGAAAUAAAAGGUGUGGAAGAAGAAUGAUUCUACUCUGCUCGGUCUGGACAGUAGGGUGAACUACCAACUGUAUGUAUAACUCUCAACUGGCAGCUCUUUGGACUCCCAAAUGAAAAAGAGGCUGUGUAUGGAGACUCUUAAAAAAGGGGUAGAUUGGGAGGCAUAUUUUUCCCAUUAUUGUUGCAGCUAAGUCUUUGCAACUCUUAAGAGAAGCCAAUUUCAUCGUGUGAUUCAAGUAUAGUAGUACGACUUCUUA